UAGAGUGACCCGACACAAUUGAUUUGAUUCAGUAAUUGUAAAAUCCGAAUAACCCGGACUAUGUACACCCCUACUUAAAUAUCAUGCUCUUGUCCAUGAGAGAGUUUGAAAUUGUGACGUGAGUCUAACCUCACCAUGCGUUGCUCUUUAUGUCUAGAUCAAAGUCAUGUGGCUUCUUUUGUGUCUCAUUAUAAUAUAAAUUAUUAUAUGAAAAAUUAAGGGGCUUUAAUAUAUUUUGGCUUUAAGUUACCAAAUUAUUUGAGCCGCUCCUGAAUUCAACGUAUAGUGUAUAUUAAAAAAAAUUAAAAAAAAAACUUGUCUACACAAUAUAAUGUUUGGACGAAAAAUCAAUGGAUAAAAGUGGUUCCGCCACUCUAAUUGAAAAAUAUUUUGACAAUUGCUCUAAUAUAUCCUCCCAUUGCAUGCUAAUUUUUGACUUGGUUCAUAAGUUGUUCAAGGUCUUCCAUUAUGCCAAAGACUUGGUAGUGGGAUCAUAUAUAUCAUGACAAAUUUGAACUUCAGCAUUUCAUAUUAAGAUUUUGAGUGCCAAUUCAGCAUCUUACACACUUUUGUGCCUUAAAAAUAUUCAAAUGAUGACAUCCACCCAAACUAGCACUCUUUAUCUUCACUCUUUUCUCAUGUUACAAAAAUGCUAAAUAUUCUAUCAAUUAACCAUGUCUUUUCUUCCUUUAUUUGGUGGUUAAAACUUAAAAUCCACAACACUUAUUGGCCCCAUUGUAACUCUCAUAGGUUGGUAUUGUGACACUUUUCACAAGGGAAAAUUCUUGUUUGGCUUUAGGAAUGGGGAGAUCUUUUACUUUCAAGAUUUUAUAUUCUAUCUAGAGUUGAGAUCAAAUCCAACAAUUGGUUCGCGGAUUCAACAGAAUUUAGUGAUUCGAGAUCAAUCUUUAUAUAUGUAUAAAGACUAGUAUAUAUAAAACUAGACAUAUAUAUUUUAGAACUCAUUUUCUCCAAUCAAAAGCCACAACGUAUAAAUUCUGAACCCGACACCGUUGAAUGAUAAUUUUAGGCAUGAAGAAACUAUCAUAUAGACAAUUUUAAGGCAUGCCACAAGAAUACUAUUGAUUUUUUUGUUGUUAAAUAAUUAUCCUAUUAGGGUUCUUGCCAGUCUGCAAGAUUUUCUUGUCACUUUACUUCAAUCCUUUUAUUUUGCCAACCCCCAAAACACAUACCUUGUAACCAUUAUUGGAAUUUCUAGUAAAAGGAGGUGAAUCACAUCAAAUUAUUAAACUUUUCCACCUCUGCCCACCUUCAUCAUUCUUUGACAUUCACCAUUUAAUUUCCUUUUCCCAUAAUAUACUACAGUAAAUUUGUCAUGUCAUUCAAAAACAAGAUGCAAGUGGAAGUAAAAUAAUACAUUCAUAUGCUUUUAUUUAUGUGAUAAAAGAAAUGGUACUUCUCCUCACAAAAGCUUUUGAAAAUCUCAUUGUACAUAGUACAUUUAGGAGGUACUAACAAAAAUAUAUUGAAUUUAUCAUGUGACAAAUCUUGGGUAGGUAACACACAACAUUGGCUUCUUACUCUGUGGGGAUGAGGCAGUGCUGCAACUAUCACCGAAAAAUUUUACUGCGUAUUUUUUAUGCAUAUAUAUACUAUAUAACUAAUUGAAUUCACUUAUAUAAAGAAAACUUUUAAUGUCGUACUUUUGAAUCCCCUCGUUAUUUCUGACUCCGCCACAAAUUCACUUAGGAUGAUAAAAAAGAUCCACAAUUCACGCAUGGUUCAGUGAAGCCGCACCCCUAUGGGUGUGAUAUAGAAUGUAUACUCUAAUACAAGCAUUAGUGGCUACUUUCACGUCUCAAACUCAUAAUAUAUAGAUCACACAAAGACAAUUUUACCAUUGCGCCAGUAAUCGCUUUCUUACUUAGAACGAUACUCUAAUUGUUGGAAGAGGAUUGCUAUUAAUAUUUGGAGGGAGGCUUUUAGACUAAGGGAAUUUUGGAANNNN
rnacentral:lncRNA from 1 species